GGCCCUGUAGCGCAAUAGCGCGUUGGACAUCUAAUCCAAAGGGUGUGGGUUCAAAUCCUACCUGGGAUGGCCU